UAUGGUCAAAUCAUGCUGAAAACACCUGUUCUCUUUCAAUCACCAAAGUUAAGCAAUGUCAAGCCUGGUCUGUACUUAAUUGGGGGACUGCUUGUGAACACCAGCUACUG